rnacentral:rRNA from 1 species
AGAGUUUGAUCAUGGCUCAGAUUGAACGCUGGCGGCAGGCCUAACACAUGCAAGUCGAGCGGUAACAGAAAGUAGCUUGCUACUUUGCUGACGAGCGGCGGACGGGUGAGUAAUGCCUGGGAAUAUGCCUUGAUGUGGGGGAUAACCAUUGGAAACGAUGGCUAAUACCGCAUAAUCUCUUCGGAGCAAAGAGGGGGACCUUUCGGCCUCUCGCGUCAAGAUUAGCCCAGGUGGGAUUAGCUAGUAGGUGAGGUAAUGGCUCACCUAGGCGACGAUCUCUAGCUGGUCUGAGAGGAUGAUCAGCCACACUGGAACUGAGACACGGUCCAGACUCCUACGGGAGGCAGCAGUGGGGAAUAUUGCACAAUGGGCGCAAGCCUGAUGCAGCCAUGCCGCGUGUGUGAAGAAGGCCUUCGGGUUGUAAAGCACUUUCAGUCGUGAGGAAGGCAGUUGCGCUAAUAGCGUAAUUGUUUGACGUUAGCGACAGAAGAAGCACCGGCUAACUCCGUGCCAGCAGCCGCGGUAAUACGGAGGGUGCGAGCGUUAAUCGGAAUUACUGGGCGUAAAGCGCAUGCAGGUGGUUAGUUAAGCCAGAUGUGAAAGCCCGGGGCUCAACCUCGGAAUUGCAUUUGAAACUGGCUAGCUAGAGUACUGUAGAGGGGGGUAGAAUUUCAGGUGUAGCGGUGAAAUGCGUAGAGAUCUG